UACAGGGGAUGCAACCGUUGCUCGGAAUCAUUGGGCGUAAAGCGCACGUAGGCGGUUCGUUAUGUCGGAUGUGAAAGCCCUUGGCUUAACCGAGGAAGUGCAUCCGAAACUGGCGAGCUAGAGUACGAAAGAGGAUCGCGGAAUUCCCGGUGUAGAGGUGAAAUUCGUAGAUAUUGGGAAGAACACCGGUGGCGAAGGCGGCUCUCUGGACCGAUACUGACGCUGAGGCGCGAAAGCGUGGGGAGCAAACAGG
rnacentral:rRNA from 1 species